UUAGAUGGUCGGAUGGCUGCUGUGUUUACACAGAGGAAAGUCCGGGCUCCAUGGAAAAACGGUGGUGGGUAACGCCCACCGGAGGUGACUCUAGGGAAAGUGCCACAGAAAAUAACCGCCUUAAUGCUUUUUAUUAAACAUUAGGGUAAGGGUGAAAAGGUGCGGUAAGAGCGCACCGCGUAUAUGGCAACAUCAUACGGCAAAGGUAAACCCCGCCGGGAGCAAGACCAAAUAGGAAUAUCACGUAUUUUUUACAGGUGUUUUCCACACCGGAUAUUCGGGUAGGUUGCUUGAGGCAUUUAGUGAUAAAUGUCCCAGAUGAAUAGCCGUCAAUUACAGAACCCGGCUUACAGACCAUCUAAUACU
rnacentral:RNase_P_RNA from 1 species